AUGAAUCACAAUCAAUCAAGCAUUGAUGAUAUAUUUCUUUCUUAUUAUUAUUACCAUUCACUGCCAUAUACAAUCAAUAAUCAUACACGGCAGCCAACCUCUCACGUAAACUUCUCAGAGAUCCUCCCCACAAAUCGUUCUUUCUACCUCCUCCAUGCCCAAAACUGCCCCGCGGGCCGCCUUCGAUCGCCCUUGUGCCGCCGCCGACGUGCCCCUGACAAGGACGAACAUGGUCCGGCAAGCGCGCCUCGCCGCCGGGUCCUGUCACAUCGCCACCGCCAGGUUUCGUGGCUAACAGGGCGGAGGCAGAAACCCGGGCGGAGUGUGGCUUCUUCGUUACCAGUUCUACGACCACUCACUGCUCGAGGAGAUGCUCACUCACCAGUCCUUUGCCGGCAACGUUGCCGCCUCAUAGCAGAGGCUCAAGUUCGUCGGGGAAGUAGCGCUCGGCCUCACCUUCUCCAACUACCUCUACCUCACCAACCCACCCGCAGCCCCGGCGCGCUCUCAAAGAUUCGGCCGCAAAAAUCCCCACCAAGAAGCUGGUGCACGUCACCGUGUGUCACAACCUCUACCUGCUUCUCCGAUGCAACUAUCCUCGCCUCGAUCAGUUGGUAUGUGUCCUUGGAUCCUCCUCCCCUGAAUUAG
rnacentral:rRNA from 1 species